AAAUUCCACCGCAGAUGAGCUGUGGAAAGGUGUUUUAGCAGAGACUGGUGCUGGAGCAAGAAAAGGAAGAGGCAGCAGAACUAAAAAGAAGAGAAGAAAGGAUUUGAACAGGGGUCAGAUCAUUGGUGAAGGGCAUUAUGGUUUCUGUGGCCUGGUCUGAAUGUCUCUCUUAUUAAAAAUGGAGCAGUACAGAUCAUUGCCCAAAAAAGCAAGGAAGAACAGAAGGAGGAGGACAACAUGACCCAGCAGAGAGAAUAAUGGGACCGGAAGAGGAGGAUGAAGAUAAAUGAGAGCGAGGAUGCAGUGGAAACUUGUGGGGAGGCAUCAGUCUUAGCCCUCUGACCCUGGUCCCAACAGAGAAACAUAUGGUAAUUUUGAUACCAGGAUACUUGAGGUAGGAAAGUUUUCAAUAGGACAGCAAAAGAGGGAAGAAAGAGAUUGGUAGGUGUCCUGCAGGCUGUGGGGAAUGGACAACGAGCUUCAAGUUUUGCUGUUGUGAAAGCCACUAAAUAAAUAGAUAGAUGCUUUCAGAAAAGCAAAGAAUAGAGCAAUUCACUAUUUGCAUUAUAUAGAACGAUAUGAAGACCAUACAAUAUUCCGUGAUAUUUCGUUAAGAUUUAAAAGGAGGCAUAUCAAGAUGAAGAAACAACCCAGAGGUUACAAGGUCUGCUGCCACAGGGGCAUCAACACCAUAUGCCAGCUCGCUGGCAUCAAAGACAUGUAUGCCAAGGUCUCUGGGUCCAUCAGUAUGCUCCCCCUCACCUGGGGCCUCUUCCAUGGGCUCUCAGUCAGAAACCCGUCAACAGCUGGCAGGUAAGAAGGGCCUCCAAGUUGUGGAAUUCUGGGAGGAAUGUGACCCUCUGCCUAUCGUGGUUUCCUCCCCAGGGGGACCUUGAAAAAGGAGCCAGGUGAUGAGGUUCCACAUAUCAAACUGGACUUGGAAGAAGUGAAUGCUCUACAGGGAAUGUGGCGCUCUGUGCGGUCGGGUUUCUAGAGAGCCGCCACGUAA
rnacentral:lncRNA from 1 species